rnacentral:rRNA from 1 species
AGAGUUUGAUCAUGGCUCAGAUUGAACGCUGGCGGCAGGCCUAACACAUGCAAGUCGAGCGGUAGCACAGAGAGCUUGCUCUCGGGUGACGAGCGGCGGACGGGUGAGUAAUGUCUGGGAAACUGCCUGAUGGAGGGGGAUAACUACUGGAAACGGUAGCUAAUACCGCAUAACGUCGCAAGACCAAAGUGGGGGACCUUCGGGCCUCAUGCCAUCAGAUGUGCCCAGAUGGGAUUAGCUAGUAGGUGGGGUAACGGCUCACCUAGGCGACGAUCCCUAGCUGGUCUGAGAGGAUGACCAGCCACACUGGAACUGAGACACGGUCCAGACUCCUACGGGAGGCAGCAGUGGGGAAUAUUGCACAAUGGGCGCAAGCCUGAUGCAGCCAUGCCGCGUGUGUGAAGAAGGCCUUCGGGUUGUAAAGCACUUUCAGCGGGGAGGAAGGCGGUGAGGUUAAUAACCUCAUCGAUUGACGUUACCCGCAGAAGAAGCACCGGCUAACUCCGUGCCAGCAGCCGCGGUAAUACGGAGGGUGCAAGCGUUAAUCGGAAUUACUGGGCGUAAAGCGCACGCAGGCGGUCUGUCAAGUCGGAUGUGAAAUCCCCGGGCUCAACCUGGGAACUGCAUUCGAAACUGGCAGGCUAGAGUCUUGUAGAGGGGGGUAGAAUUCCAGGUGUAGCGGUGAAAUGCGUAGAGAUCUGGAGGAAUACCGGUGGCGAAGGCGGCCCCCUGGACAAAGACUGACGCUCAGGUGCGAAAGCGUGGGGAGCAAACAGGAUUAGAUACCCUGGUAGUCCACGCCGUAAACGAUGUCGAUUUGGAGGUUGUGCCCUUGAGGCGUGGCUUCCGGAGCUAACGCGUUAAAUCGACCGCCUGGGGAGUACGGCCGCAAGGUUAAAACUCAAAUGAAUUGACGGGGGCCCGCACAAGCGGUGGAGCAUGUGGUUUAAUUCGAUGCAACGCGAAGAACCUUACCUGGUCUUGACAUCCACAGAACUUUCCAGAGAUGGAUUGGUGCCUUCGGGAACUGUGAGACAGGUGCUGCAUGGCUGUCGUCAGCUCGUGUUGUGAAAUGUUGGGUUAAGUCCCGCAACGAGCGCAACCCUUAUCCUUUGUUGCCAGCGGUCAGGCCGGGAACUCAAAGGAGACUGCCAGUGAUAAACUGGAGGAAGGUGGGGAUGACGUCAAGUCAUCAUGGCCCUUACGACCAGGGCUACACACGUGCUACAAUGGCAUAUACAAAGAGAAGCGACCUCGCGAGAGCAAGCGGACCUCAUAAAGUAUGUCGUAGUCCGGAUUGGAGUCUGCAACUCGACUCCAUGAAGUCGGAAUCGCUAGUAAUCGUAGAUCAGAAUGCUACGGUGAAUACGUUCCCGGGCCUUGUACACACCGCCCGUCACACCAUGGGAGUGGGUUGCAAAAGAAGUAGGUAGCUUAACCUUCGGGAGGGCGCUUACCACUUUGUGAUUCAUGACUGGGGUGAAGUCGUAACAAGGUAACCGUAGGGGAACCUGCGGUUGGAUCACCU